GAAUUGACGGGGGCCCGCACAAGCGGUGGAGCAUGUGGUUUAAUUCGAUGCAACGCGAAGAACCUUACCUGGUCUUGACAUCCACGGAAGUUUUCAGAGAUGAGAAUGUGCCUUCGGGAACCGUGAGACAGGUGCUGCAUGGCUGUCGUCAGCUCGUGUUGUGAAAUGUUGGGUUAAGUCCCGCAACGAGCGCAACCCUUAUCCUUUGUUGCCAGCGGUCCGGCCGGGAACUCAAAGGAGACUGCCAGUGAUAAACUGGAGGAAGGUGGGGAUGACGUCAAGUCAUCAUGGCCCUUACGACCAGGGCUACACACGUGCUACAAUGGCGCAUACAAAGAGAAGCGACCUCGCGAGAGCAAGCGGACCUCAUAAAGUGCGUCGUAGUCCGGAUUGGAGUCUGCAACUCGACUCCAUGAAGUCGGAAUCGCUAGUAAUCGUGGAUCAGAAUGCCACGGUGAAUACGUUCCCGGGCCUUGUACACACCGCCCGUCACACCAUGGGAGUGGGUUGCAAAAGAAGUAGGUAGCUUAACCUUCGGGAGGGCGCUUACCACUUUGUGA
rnacentral:rRNA from 4 species